CAGGCUCCAGUGUGUGAUGUUCCCCUCCCCGUGUCAUGUGUUCUUAUUUGAACAUUUCUUUUUAUAUUUUUAUCCAUCACUUAUAUUUCUCCUCUUGUGAAAUUUCCUAUCUGUGCUUUUUGGCCACUUUUUAUACAGCAGUUUUUCUGUCUUUUUUUUUUUAUCGGUAAGCUCAUUUUAUACAUUGAAGAUAAAUAAUUACUUAUUUAUCACAAAUCCUGGGUUGCCAGUCUUCUCACACUAUAUGCAAAUGUGCCAAGAAGAUGUAGCUUAUUUUCCAAAAACGGAUGUGAUCUUUUCUACAAACUUCCAUGGAAAUACACAUAUGCAUGCACUCACAUGCACACACACACACACAUGCAUGCACACACACUUUUAGUUAAAUUUAAUAAACUCAUUCAAAUCCAAUAAUUUAUGCAUCAUCUUUGCAUAUUCAGUCUCUUGGAUGCCUUGGUGUCCUAGUCCAUUCAGGCUGCUAUAAUAAAAUGCCAUAGACUGGGUGGCUUGUAAACAGGAAUUUAUUUCUCACAAUCCUCGAGGCUGGAAGUCUGAGCUCAAUGUACCAACAGAUUUAGUGUCUGAAGAAGACCUACCUUCAUCUUUAUGGAUGGUACCUUCUAGCUGUGUGCUCACUUGGUGGAAGGAGUGAGGCAGCUCCCUGGGGCCUCUUUCUGCAUCACCUCCCAAAGGCCCCAUCUCCUAAUAUCAUCACACUGGGGGCCAGGAUUCCAACAUAGGAAUUUCGGGGGUGGGGCACAAACAUUCAGACCACAGCACAGGGCCUUUCAGAUCUGCCCUCUAAGAUACUGACCACGCCUAGGGGCUUACAAAUGUCAUAGUAGUCAGAGAGGGUUUGACUAUGACUCCAUUGUUUCCUGGCUCCAGUGACACUGGCUCUGUUGCUGUUGGCCAGGGAGUCACUUUGUCCCUGCAGCCCUGUGAACAACUUUGACAACCUCCUGCACCAAAUUCUCAACAAUGUUUCCAUCCCAGUCUCAGGGCACAGAGAGCCUGGUGGGUUCCUUCCACACCACACUCUCUACCCCACCACACUGGCUGCCACAUUAACAGACAUGGUCUUGCUGUGUCACCCAGGCUGGAGUGAAGUGGCACAAUCAUGGCUCACUGCAGCCUAGAACCCUGGGUUCAAGUGAUCCUCUCUUCUCAGCCUCCUGAGUAGUUGGAACUACAGACAUGCACCACCGUGCCCAGCCAAUCUUCAGGCAUUCCUACCACUCUUGUUGAGAGAGAGGGCUCAGAACAAAUGCCAACUGCCUCUUUCCACUACCUUCUUCCCCACCUUUCUCACAGUCCCUCAGGGAAGACAGGGAAGUCUUUCCUCUUCCUUGUUCUGGCUAAAGGGGACACUCCUCCUCCUUUCCAGAGUGGCAUCCACCUUCUAUGGAAUAGCAAAGCCAAGUGGACAGCAGAGAGAGAGAGAGGCAGAGAGAGAGAGAGAGGCAGAGAGAGAGAGAGGUUUACUAAGAAAAGAAUAAAGAUGAGGAAUAUUUUAAAAUAUUAUAAUCCUUAUACAUAUUUAAAACUAUCUUUUCCACUUGGUUAUUUGCAUUUUGUUGUUUUAUGGUUUUUGCAAAUGUUUAGACAUUUAAAAUAUUUAUAUAGUCAAAUAUUUUCAUGUUUUUUCAUUGAAUGUGCCUUCUCAGGGAUGCUCAGAGAGACCUUCCACAAUGUAAGUCUGUUUCCUCCUCAUUCUUUUAGAGCAUCAUUUGUAAUCUACCUGGAAUUCAUGUUUGUAUUUUGGUAGAUUAUGCCUCACAGUAUUUAUUUUGAAAUGGUUAGCCAGAUAGUCUCAAAAGGCUUAUCAAAUAAUCCAUCAUUUCCUUUCUUAUUUGGAAAACCACAUUUGUUAUAUUAAAAAGAAUUUUGGAUCUA